AACGAACGCUGGCGGCAUGCCUAACACAUGCAAGUCGAACGAGACCUUCGGGUCUAGUGGCGCACGGGUGCGUAACGCGUGGGAACCUGCCCUUAGGUUCGGAAUCACUCCCCGAAAGGGGUGCUAAUACCGGAUAAUGUCUUCGGACCAAAGAUUUAUCGCCUUUGGAUGGGCCCGCGUUGGAUUCGCUGGUUGGUAGGGUAAAAGCCUACCAAGGCGACGAUCCAUAGCUGGUCUGAGAGGAUGAUCAGCCACACUGGGACUGAGACACGGCCCAGACUCCUACGGGAGGCAGCAGUGGGGAAUAUUGGACAAUGGGCGAAAGCCUGAUCCAGCAAUGCCGCGUGAGUGAUGAAGGCCUUAGGGUUGUAAAGCUCUUUUACCCGGGAUGAUAAUGACAGUACCGGGAGAAUAAGCUCCGGCUAACUCCGUG
rnacentral:rRNA from 1 species